UGAUGUGUUGGACUUUUUGCUGCGUGAUUUCGGUGGAGUGGUAACAAGAGUAGCUGUCCGAGGUUCACUGUUCUCACCAGACAGGAGCUUCUGGAGGUUCUGAAGGCCCUGGCUGAAUCCUGCCUCUGGCACCACAUCUUCUCCAGCCUCUUCACUGUCCGACUCGAGCGCCAACUGCACAGGCUGCUGGGGCAGCACCACACCAGUCUCCUCGUUGUCGGAAUCAGCUACAAUCUGCACAGGCCGCUGAUGGGCCACAACACUCUGCAACAACUAAACAUUUUCAAAUCGUCUCUUCCUGUCCUCAAGAAUGGAACCUACAAAUGUCAUACAGGUGUCAUACUGAGCCACAUACCCCUACAGCUUUGCCACUCUUGCUGCUCAUUGAGAUGUGGGGCAGACUUCCUUCAUUUUCACUGAAGGUGCCAGAAAUUAAACCACGAAGCUUCA